rnacentral:rRNA from 1 species
UGGGGAAUAUUGGACAAUGGGCGAAAGCCUGAUCCAGCCAUGCCGCGUGAGUGAUGAAGGCCCUAGGGUUGUAAAGCUCUUUUGUGCGGGAAGAUAAUGACGGUACCGCAAGAAUAAGCCCCGGCUAACUUCGUGCCAGCAGCCGCGGUAAUACGAAGGGGGCUAGCGUUGCUCGGAAUCACUGGGCGUAAAGGGUGCGUAGGCGGGUUUCUAAGUCAGAGGUGAAAGCCUGGAGCUCAACUCCAGAACUGCCUUUGAUACUGGAAGUCAUGAGUUCGGGAGAGGUGAGUGGAACUGCGAGUGUAGAGGUGAAAUUCGUAGAUAUUCGCAAGAACACCAGUGGCGAAGGCGGCUCACUGGCCCGAUACUGACGCUGAGGCACGAAAGCGUGGGGAGCAAACA